rnacentral:rRNA from 1 species
CCUACGGGAGGCAGCAGUGAGGAAUAUUGGUCAAUGGGCGUAAGCCUGAACCAGCCAAGUCGCGUGAGGGAUGAAGGUUCUAUGGAUCGUAAACGUCUUUUAUAAGGGAAUAAAGUGUGGGUCGUGUCCUGUUGUGUAUGUACCUUAUGAAUAAGGAUCGGCUAACUCCGUGCCAGCAGCCGCGGUAAUACGGAGGAUCCGAGCGUUAUCCGGAUUUAUUGGGUUUAAAGGGUGCGUAGGCGGCCUUUUAAGUCAGCGGUGAAAGUCUGUGGCUCAACCAUAGAAUUGCCGUUGAAACUGGGAGACUUGAGUAUGUUUGAGGCAGGCGGAAUGCGUGGUGUAGCGGUGAAAUGCUUAGAUAUCACGCAGAACCCCGAUUGCGAAGGCAGCCUGCCAAGCCAUGACUGACGCUGAUGCACGAAAGCGUGGGGAUCAAACAGGAUUAGAUACCCUUGUAGUC